UACGGGGGGGGUAAGCGUUGUUCGGAAUUACUGGGCGUAAAGGGCUCGUAGGCGGCCAACUAAGUCGGACGUGAAAUCCCCAGGCUUAACUUGGGAACUGCGUCUGAUACUGGGAGGCUUGAGUGCGGGAGAGGGAUGUGGAAUUCCAGGUGUAGCGGUGAAAUGCGUAGAUAUCUGGAGGAACACCGGUGGCGAAGGCGGCAUCCUGGACCGACACUGACGCUGAGGCGCGAAAGCUAGGGGAGCAAACGGG
rnacentral:rRNA from 1 species